UAACACAGCUGUUAGUGAAUGGAGAGUCCACUCCUACUCCAUUCCACACCUAGGCACCUAGGCUCAUCCCAUGCUGUGGCUUCAAUGCCUAGAAGACUCCAAAAGCAUUGGCAGCUUCCUUGCCUUGGACCACAGAAUAGAAAAGACAGUUUUAAGAGGAUGGGAGAAUGCUUGGAGCCACAUCAGGAAGGGGCACAGGGGAAUGCUGUCCACAUGCCAUGGGCCAGCACUGAGUCCAACGUUUCCCUUGCAAAAUGGAGGCUGGGGAGGUGUGGCCAGAGGUGCACCUGGAAGACAGGGAGAGGAGCACUGAGGACACACAUUGGUCUCUAGCUCAUACCUGCGCCCUUUCAGUGGGUCCUGUCCUUUAUGCGUGGUGCUUUCCCUCACAGAGUGAAGGCAGCAGAGAAGCUGAGUCUUCUAUCCCCAGGGACACAGUUCUGCAGGCUUGCGGUUACCAUGUUACCACGUCUAAUUCAGGUGUACUUCUGUUCUCUAAGAAUCACACUGCCUUAAUGAGAAAUACAGCAUAGCCCACUAAUUUUUUGAGUACAGCUCACCUGAUGGCACAUUUCACAGAGCAGGAAUCCACCAGUUUCAAAUCAUCUGGGACAGAGUGUGGCUGCACAGGGCCAGGAAGAUGAACACAGGAAGAACACAGUCAUCUGCAGUACUGAAGAUGUGGGGUGGUCCAAAAACUGCCCCUCCCCUGGAAUGAACGUCCAUCACACCAGUUCUGUACAUGCUCCACGGUCUCUAUAUCAGCAUGUAUAUUCCUCCUAGGCCAAGCCCUCUGCCCUGCCAGGUCAGUUAUAAACACAUCCAUGCACACAUUUCUGUACCUGGAAUGCUUCAAACCAUCAAUGGGAGAAUGCACACUGAUUGGCUGAGCCCGAAUCACGUGACGAGCAGGGAAGCAUGGGGUGAGGAGUCUCAGCUGGCUGCCAUGACCCUGGACAGAGCUGGAGGAGCCUCAGGGGUUCUCAGCACUGGCUCCCCCUGAAGUGAGCAGUGCUGUUUGCAGAAUGAUUCCAGCCAGGGCGAUGUGGCUAUCCAGGGGCUGGACUGGCCAUGGAAUAAAUCCGGUACUGUUUGGCUUCUUCUGCCCUCUUUUCCACCACUCAAAUCUUCUAUUUUUUGUUUGUUUGCUUACUCUCCUGAUUUGUCUGUUAUAUUUUCUCUGUUCCCUUUGUAUUCCGGGUUUGCACUUCCAAACACCACGCAUGUUUGUAUUUUGGAGGUU